CGCGGCCUGCGUCUGGGGCAGCUGGCUCGGCGCCCUGAAGGGGGGCUUCAACAGUAGCAGCCCCUCCCCCGGGCCCUUCCGGGAGCCCCCGACAGGCCGGAAAGGAACCCGACCCGGCUCCGGAGGAAAAGCCGAAGAAAUGGAUCAUUGGAUGCUGCUAAGCAGCCAGCGGGCCAGGACUCCUGCGUUACAAUCUGGGCCUGUCCUUUUUGGCAGAAUGGAGCCUUAUUUUCCUCAUCUGUAAAAUGGAGAUAUUAGUUCCCAUCUCGGAGAGUGAUGGUCCAGCUGGCAUGAGAAUUUCAUGAGAUGGCUGAAUGUUAAUCAUCUUCACAAACAGAAGCCGUCAGGGUGGAAAGAGCAAGGUGGGAGAUAUCCCCAGCUUCUCAAAAAUUCACCUUACACUUCACUUUUAUAAAAAGACCUGCAUUAGUGCCUAUUUUCACUAACCAAGUGAAAUCUGAAGAUGAUAUUCAGUUUUACCAAAAAAUGUCAGUGAAAGCAAAAACGGUGUUCAGCAUCUGUUAGUGAGCCAUCAUAGAGGCGGGGCACCUGAGCAGCGAGAGUGAUGCAGCCAAGCUCCUUCCCUGGGAACUACACUCAGCAUCCAGCUGCCACAGCUUUGAACUGUGUCUGUAAGCAUCUGUGCUUUAUCUCAAUUUAUUUUGUGCUUUUGCUAGCAAGAUGUGUCCUAAGGUAUCAGAAAAGCCUAAGAAAGGUUAGUUUUUGGUUUGGGAAGGCUCAAUUUUUUUUCCAUAUAAAUUAAUGUAAAAUUCAUUUCACAUCAUUUCAGCUAAGGACAGUUUUAAUGGGAAUGCUCCUCUUUCAGAUAGGAGGGGAAACCCAUACUGAGUAUAUAUUCUGGAUAUAAGUCUUUUAUCAGAUACUUACCUUAAAAAUUUUUUCCCAAUCUGUAGCUUGCUUUUCAUUUUCUUAACAAUCUUUUGACAAGCAGAAGUUCUCAAUUUUGAUGAAGUUCAAUUUAUCAAUUUUUUAAAUUUAUGGACUGUGCUUUUGGUGUUGGAUCUAAGAAAUUUUUGCCUAACCUACAGUCACAAGAUUUUCUCCUAUGUUUUCUCUAGGAGUUUUUUCAUUUGGGGUUUUAUCUAUGGUUCGUUUUUAACUAGUUUUUGCAAAUAGUGCAAAACAUAGGUCAAAUUUCAUUUUUUUUUUUUUUUUGUAUGUGAAUGUCCAAUUAUUCCAGCACUGUUUGUUGAAAAGACUUUCCUUUCUCUUGACCAGCCCCUAUAUGUGUUUUUAACGCUAUGGCUCUUUGAGGCAUUGAUGCCAGCACUCUAGAGCUUUCUUACACAAAAGUCAGUAGCAUAGCAGGGAUGAAUGCCUUACCUGAUCCCAAAAGAGAACUGCUUAUGCCUGAAUAAAACACAGACUUUUCAAUGAACAGCUCUUUUAGCUUUAACUUACAGCCCCUCUACUCUCCCGAGGACUUAGACGAGUCUGCUGAGACCUGCACCAGGAAAUUGCUAUGACUGUCAAGCACAGUCUGGGUCCAGAACUGCCUCUCUUCUCCGAUGACACUCAUAUACCCCCGGAGGCUCCUUGAUCAGAGAGGUUUUGAAUCAUCUGCACUCAACUAAUCAGCCUCCAUGAAAGAGAAUGCCCUGAGAAGGCAUCAGCUGCCUUUAUCUUUCUGGUUGCUUUUACCUGUCAAAGUUGCUGUUGAUUUUCAUUUUAGCUUGAUCAUAAUCAGUGAAGGAGAAAGUACACUGUGCAAGAUAUAUAAAGCUUCUGCUGGGGUGCCUGGCUGGCUCAGUCGGUUAGAGCAUGAGACUCUUGAUCUCAGGAGCCAUGAGUUUGAGCCCCAUGUUGGGCGUAGAGGUUACUUUAAAAAUAAGCUAGGGGACUGCAGUCCCUCUUCUGGGUAGGGUGAGGCCUCUGGCUCUGCCUUGGGAUACUGAGACUUCCUCUUUUGGGGAUGCAGGUCCAGCUGUGACCCCUGAUGCCUGGGCAGCUCUGAGUCAGUUAUGGGAUAAACCUGUCUGCUUGAUGGACCUUCCAGGGAAUACUCACAGCAGACCCAUAGACUGCAUGAUCCCAGGUUCCUGAAUGCUCUGCUUCCCACUAUGGGCUUCAUAAUGCAUGAGGGCUGGAGCUGGUGGAGGAGAGUGGGCAGGCAGACAUGACCCAACUGCUCUAGCUUAAUGAGAGAUCAGAGCUGCCUGAAAUGUAAAUGGCAGCAACUCAGGGGACAUCACCUGCUAUGGAAUAGCUGUGUGCAUAACUCUGUGUGCCUGCAAUGAGAGUGGCCAUAUGGGAGUGUGCAAAGCUGACUGGGUAUGUCAUGAUGUGUAUAUGCUCGUACUCAGCUCUGAUCCCCAAGUGCAGUGUAACUUGAGGCAUUUCAUCUCCUUCUCUGGACCUUAGUUUCCUUCACAGUAAAAUGAGAGGAUCUGAAGAACUCUAAAGCUCCUCCCUCUUCCACCACUGUUCCUUCCACCUCCCUCCAGACUCUUCUCCCUGGUUUCAGCAGAGCAGCUCCUCCAGCCUCUGAAGCCCAUCACUGCAGAUGUCCAGCCACCAGUGGCCUCAUCUUCUACCUCAAGUUCCCAGUGAGGCCUUUCUUUACAGGAGGAACUCUCUCACUGAGAAGAAUUCUGGAACUUUCUCCACUACCUUGUGCAUGUGUGUGUGUGUUUAUGUGCAAUUGUGACUACAAGUGUGUUUGUGAUCGGCCAUGGGAAAGGGAGAGAUGGCAGGGGUCUCCAAGGGGGCAGUGAAUCCAUUUGCUUGUGUCUCUGUGUCUCUUUUUCCAAGCUCCCAGAGAUAGGCUCCUAAGGGCAUGUACCCACUCACAAGCUUUGUGCACAUUCUCACAGUAUCUAUUUAUAGCAAGACUCAGUCAAGUACCACUUCCUCCAAGAACCUCUCCUCAUAGCCCCACACUGGGCUAACUGCCCUUCUGCUGUUUUCUACAAGCCCUGUGCCCUGAGCACUUUUCCAGUAGAACAUUCAUCACAUUCUACCAAUGCUGUUUUCUUGCUUGCCCCAUCUCUGUAGUGAAAUCUCUAGAGGAUAGGGACCGUGUCUCAUUCCCUUGGCAUCCCAGCAUCUGGAAUGUUCAGAACCUGUGUGUGGACUGGGUGACCUCACCUCACGUACUCCCAGUAGGACAUUCUGUCCUCAGUGGCCCCAUACCCCUAUGUUACCACCCGCUUUGGAGUGUGAGGUAAAACAAACCUAAUAUACCCAUAGAGCUUUCCCCUUGGGAUCACCACCCCAAGACCUUCCUCUGGCCCAGGAGAGGCCUGCUCUAACUGUGAAAAUGGAGACAGCCUGGGAUACAGGGUGUGGGUGCUCGGCUGAUCCCACCAGUUUUAGGGCCCUCACCACAGGAAGCGUUCCUCCUCUUUUCUGCACUUUCUGGCCCUGCUAUGAACCUUGUUGGCGCCAGUGGGCUUUUAAUAUUUUCUGUUCCUGGCUGUUAUACAACAUUUCACCUCAAAAAUGCAUCCUUCCCCUCACCAAAGGGCACGCCUUUCCAGUGAAAGGAACCCAGGGCUGGUGAGAGGAGGUGACCCACUGCAUUCUGGGCUCGGGGGAGUCCCAGCCCAGUGCUUUGAGAAAGAGGUGGCAGAAAUGUCUUCCCAGCCAAAGGAGACAAGCUCCCUGGCCAGUCUGAGGCCUCACGGUCCCACAGGAAGCCUGGAUCCACAGCAAGCAGGGGGACACCUUCUUGGUUCUAUGUGGGACUCCAGCCCCAUCCCUUCUAGUUGCCUUUACCUCACUGAGCCCUACUGGUGCCUCUGCACAGUGAGGAUGACGACAGUGCCCGUCUUUCAGGGUCCUUGUGAGGCCUGAAUGCUGCACAUUUGGGUCAUGCAGGGAGCUUUAAAACACACCCGGCCCAUGCCCAUCAGAGAUGCUGAUUUAAGGAUAUGGGUGCAGCCUGGACAUCAGUAUUUUUUAAAAGCUCUCGGUGAUUCACUCCAGCCACAGCUGGGAACCACUUGCUUGGAUGGGAAAGCACUGUCCUGGGGACUCGUUACAGGUACAACUGCUACUUUGAUGAGCAAGGGCACCACACCGCCCAUUUUCUCGAACAUGCAAUCCCAUGGAUGCCUGAAAUCCCCUGACAGAGUAAAGGGAAAAGCACUUUGAAAAGGCAGGUGAGGAGUCCUGCAGGUUUACUCUGUGCCUUUCCAAGUCCACCCUGCCCACAGACAGAUGCCUCUGAGCCACCAGCCCGGUCCCACGCUGGAGCCCCACAGACCUGCCCUAGUGACCCCUCUGCUGGGUGGGCCAGGUCCACCCCAGAAGGACUCAGGCCUGUGGCUCCCUCCCAGACACAGGCCCUGAACCCAAGAGUGGGACCGUGAGGUGGAGGUGACCCCGCUCCCGUCACCCCUCACUGCAUGUUGGGGUAAAGGGCAGCUGUCACUACAGAAUUAACUGGGAAAGAGGCAGUGCCCCAUACUGGGGAGGAGAGGAUGUUCAGGGGCCCGGUGGGGAGAGUAACAUCUGCCUUCUUCACCCACAGAAGGUUCCACAGCCCAGAGGAAGAAAACAGCUGGAGAGCUGGGCCCCUCAGGGAAAGCAAGUGGGGAGCAGCACAUCUUCUCACAGUGACCCACCCCCCAGGCCACCCCUUAGUGGCAUAUCCCAGAGUUAGUCUGGUCUUGGACACAGGAGGAGAGAACAGGUUCUCCCCAGGGGGGCAGCACAGCCCCUGCCUGAGGAGCUUCAGCCAAAGUCCAGGCUCCCAGCAGAGGCCAGAGCCCACAGCCUAGCUAGGCCUGAGGUUCUACAACAGGGCAGUGAACAGGCCUGGGGACUGGGGUCACAGGAGAGGUGGCUGGUUUUCUUCAGGCACUCGCUGGAGAAGUGGUUCUUCUGAGGUUUACUCGCUGUCCUGUGUCCCCAGCUCCUGGCCAGGGUAGGAAAGGAGAGGGAGGGAGAUGAAGGGGGUGUGGUGGGGCACAGCAUGGCAGGCAGGAAGGAGGAGGGGACAGCAGAGCUGCCAGACUGGGCCCCACCAGCAGGGAGUCCAGGAAUAGCAGCAACCACAACCACCACCUUAGGGAGUGUCAUCCUGCCCACUUUUGUUUUCCAACUGAGGGCACAUUAAGGGUGAGCACAGGGAGGCACCAGGCCUUUUGGACUAUGCUAUGGCAUCCAGAGAAGCAUCUACAGCCUCAGCAAGGUCAGGGGCAACAGGGAACGACUGAGCUGGAAAAAACUUCAGUCUCAACAAGUCUGCCCCUGCCUCCUGAUAUCUAAGGUAGAAAAUACACAGACUUUGAAGCCGAAAGAACUGGAUUAAACCAUGCCUCCACCACAAAUUACCUGUAUUCACGCAUUCAUCCUAAAAAUAGUUUCAGCUUCUACUAUGUAGCAGGCCCUGAGCUAUGUGCUGGGGUUACUAACAAAAACGAAGCCUAGUCCCUAUCUUUGAGGAACUUACCCAGAAAAGGAGUGAUGGACCCAUAAACAGAUCUCAGGGAAGGCUCCCUAGAGGAGGUGUUGUCAGAGUUGACUUUAAAUAUGAAUAGCAGUUAGAUGAAAAGGAAGAGGAAGGGCAUUCCAGGCAGAGAAGACAACAUGAGCAAAACCAGCAUGGUGUGUCAGGAGCUGCUGGGAGAUGAAGCAUGUGGCAGUGUCUCUGUCAAGAUUCUUAGUUGAGAGCAACAGAAACCAGUGCUAGCUAGUUUAAGCAGAAAAGGAAUUUACUAAAAGGAUAUUGGAUCCCACAUUCCUGGAAGCCCUUUUUGAUUUAUUAAAGUUUGUUUAAGUAAUCUCUACACCCAACAUGGGGCUCAAACUCAUGACCCUGAGAUCAAGAGUUUCAUGCUUGGUUGACCAAGCCAGUUAGUUAGGUACCCGAGGCCCCAGUUUAGAAUCUCAAAGCUAAACUCCUCAAACCCACACAGGGCAGGAAACAUGGCAAAGUUAGCUCUGGAGGCACCCCAGAGGUCAUUUUUGUCUAUAGUUCCUAAUCUUGAGUCCAUGGGAGCAAAAAGAUAUAUAGAAUAUUUUGAGUAUGUGUAAAUGUAUUUUUCUGGGGACAAGGUCCAUGACUUUUAUCAGAUUCUCAAAGGAACCCACACUGUAGGUCAGAUUCUCCCAGAAGCAAAUCCUGAAGUGAAGAUUCAUGUGUAAGUGAUUUAGUAAAGAAAUGUUCCCAGGAGAAGCCAGUAAGGUAGAAAAGGAAGCAGGAUAGUAGGGAAAGGGGACGAAACCAGGGAAGAGUGUAAUAUUGUGUGAAACCACACUCAGCCUGAUGCUUAGGGAACUCGGGGGCAUUAAUUGCACCUUCAAGUUUUUUCCUACUCAAGACAAAGUAGCUAGGCUUUUGUACUCUCAUGGCAGUGGGUCAUUGGCUAUGGGCCAGGUGCCCUGCCGUUUUGUGUGGGUCAUAAACUGCCAGGCACUUUCAGCUCUCCUAAGGGAAAAGAAGUCUCCAGCUCCCAAGGGCAAUCCUUGAACACUUAAUGAAGGGUUGCAGGCACAAGGCUGGUAAAGGGAAUUUGAGGGAUUUGGGCAUGUAUAGUUCAUAUUCCAAAAAAUUCAGGAAUCACUGAUCUAGUACAACCACAUAAUUUUAUAGACUAGGAAAUGGGGAACACUUCUGAUUGUAUAGUGCCUAGGUACCCAACUAAACCUCAUAAACCUUCUAAACACCCCCAAAUUCUAGAUAAAGGAAAAAAAAUCUUUUUUCUUUUUGAAAAACAAUCUUAUUAAACACACUUAUGAACUGACGGUAAAGUAAGCAAUGCUCAGGCCAGAAAGAGACAAAAGCUAGAAUUCAGAGGGCAAUGAAUGAAAAGUAAUGAAAUCAGCUUUUACCUUGAAUACAUUGAACUUCGUGAACUUGAGCUUCAGUUUUUCAGCCUCAUGGAAAUGGGACAACAUUUAAUAAGUCCAUGCUUGUGGCACCUGCAUGGCUCAGUCGGUUGAGCAUCCAAUUCUUUAUUUUGGCCCAGGUCCUGAUCCCAGGGUCAUAGGAUCAAGCCCUAUGUCCGGCUCCUUGCUGGCCAUAGAAUCUGCUUGAGAUUCUCUCUCUCUCUCUCUCUCUCUCUCUCUCUCUCUCUCUC